UGAACCGGUAAUAAUAAAGAUAAAAACGGGUUUACCUAUGAUUUUUUUUGUCAUUUCGUUCAUUUUUUCUAUAACUUAUUAGACAUAGCUCAACCGGCUUUGGCCCCCUUUAACCACCACGUUGAAUGAAUCCAUGUGUUAAUUAGGCGACAAGACGAACGGUAUCACCGAUCGGUGCGUGCAUUCGGUGAGAUGGAAAGGACGAUGCCGUAGAUCCCCAAAUCUGAAAGAACCCUGACAAAACAAAUCAAGUCAAUGCUGCUGCUGCUGCCAUUGCCAUUGCCAUUGCCAACCGCCAGAGGCAAAAUGAUUAGAGCAGCAAUCACACAAGCUGGUUAAGCAGAACUGGAUUGAUGCAGAGAAGAGAUCGAAUAGUUUAUAAUGUAAUUAGCCGGUACAGCAUUAUUAUUUAGUGCGUGCUCACAUGUAGAAGCCUCACCAGCCAUGUUCUGAUUGUGAAACCUAUCCUCUGCUAGACUGCUACCAUCCAUUGACAUGCUGGAUUCCUGGCCGUCCAAAACUGCAGAGGAUCUGAAAAUAUGAACUGCUGUAGAUCUGUUUCAGAAGCAAGAAGAAAUUGUCAACUGCUAAGUGGCCAUUGAUUUGAAGCAAUG
rnacentral:lncRNA from 1 species